rnacentral:rRNA from 1 species
CCUACGGGAGGCAGCAGUGAGGAAUAUUGGGCAAUGGGCGCAAGCCUGAACCAGCCAAGUCGCGUGAGGGAUGACGGUCCUAGGGAUUGUAAACCUCUUUUGUCGGGGAGCAAGGCCCGCCACGUGUGGCGGGAAGGAGAGUACCCGAAGAAAAAGCAUCGGCUAACUCCGGGCCAGCAGCCGCGGUAAUACGGGGGAUGCGAGCGUUAUCCGGAUUUAUUGGGUUUAAAGGGUGGGUAGGCGGAAGGUUAAGUCAGCGGUAAAAUGUCGGUGCUAAAAACCGGCCUGCCGUUGAAACUGGUCUUCUUGAGUGAGCGAGAAGUAUGUGGAAUGCGUGGUGUAGCGGUGAAAUGCAUAGAUAUCACGCAGAACUCCGAUUGCGAAGGCAGCAUACCGGCGCUCAACUGACGCUGAGGCACGAAAGCGUGGGGAUCGAACAGGAUUAGAUACCCUGGUAGUC